AACGUUGGCGGCGUGGAUUAGGCAUGCAAGUCGUACGCGAACGUCACUUCGGGUGGGUAGUAAGUGGCGAACGGGUGAGUAACACGUGGGAAACCUGCCCUUUGGUUGGGGAUAACACUCCUAACGGGGUGGUAAUACCGAAUAAUACGGCUCAAGUCGCAUGACUUGGCCGUCAAAGUCGGCCUCUUCAUGAAAGCUGGCGCCGGAGGAUGGUCCCGCGUCCCAUUAGCUUGUUGGUGAGGUAACGGCCCACCAAGGCUCCGAUGGGUAGCUGGUCUGAGAGGAUGGUCAGCCACACUGGGACUGAGAUACGGCCCAGACUCCUACGGGAGGCAGCAGUCGAGAGGCUUCGUCAAUGGGGGAAACCCUGAACGAGCGACGCCGCGUGGGCGAUGAAGGUCGUAAGAUUGUAAAGCCCUGUCAGAGGGGAAGAAAAUCCGGGGUGCUAAUACCACCUCGGCUUGACGUUACCCUCAGAGGAAGCUCCGGCUAACUCCGUGCCAGCAGCCGCGGUAAUACGGGGGGAGCAAACGUUGUUCGGAAUUACUGGGCGUAAAGGGCGUGCAGGCGGCCUGGUCAGUGAAAUGUGAAAUCCCCUGGCUCAACCAGGGAACUGCAUCUCAUACUGCCAGGCUUGAGGACGGGAGAGGAGACGGGAAUUCCCGGUGUAGCGGUGAAAUGCACUGAUAUCGGGAGGAACACCAGUGGCGAAGGCGCGUCUCUGGCCCGAUCCUGACGCUCAGGCGCGAAAGCUGGGGGAGCAAACAGGAGUUAGAUACCCUGGUAGUCCCCGCCGUAUAACGGUGAACACUAGGUGUGGGGGGCACGACCCCUUCCGUGCCGUAGCUAACGCAUUAAGUGUUCCGCCUGGGGAGUACGACCGCAAGGUUGAAACUCAAGAGGAAGUUGACG
rnacentral:rRNA from 1 species